CAUGCAAGUCGAACGAUGAAGGCCGUGCUUGCACGGUUGGAUUAGUGGCGAACGGGUGAGUAUCACGUGAGUAACCUUCCCUUGACUCUGGGAUAAGCCUGGGAAACUGGGUCUAAUACCGGAUAUGACUGGCCUCCGCAUGGGGGUUGGUGGAAAGCUUUUGCGGUUUUGGAUGGACUCGCGGCCUAUCAGUUUGUUGGUGAGGUAAUGGCUUACCAAGGCGAUGACGGGUAGCCGGCCUGAGAGGGUGACCGGCCACACUGGGACUGAGACACGGCCCAGACUCCUACGGGAGGCAGCAGUGGGGAAUAUUGCACAAUGGGCGCAAGCCUGAUGCAGCGACGCCGCGUGCGGGAUGACGGCCUUCGGGUUGUAAACCGCUUUCAGCAAGGAAGAAGCUUUAUUGUGACGGUACUUGCAGAAGAAGCGCCGGCUAACUACGUGCCAGCAGCCGCGGUAAUACGUAGGGCGCGAGCGUUAUCCGGAAUUAUUGGGCGUAAAGAGCUCGUAGGCGGUUUGCCACGUCUGCUGUGAAAGCCCGGGGCUCAACCUCGGGUGUGCAGUGGGUACGGGUAGGCUGGAGUGCAGUAGGGGAGACUGGAAUUCCUGGUGUAGCGGUGAAAUGCGCAGAUAUCAGGAGGAACACCGAUGGCGAAGGCAGGUCUCUGGGCUGUUACUGACGCUGAGGAGCGAAAGCAUGGGGAGCGAACAGGAUUAGAUACCCUGGUAGUCCAUGCCGUAAACGUUGGGCACUAGGUGUGGGGGACAUUCCACGUUUUCCGCGCCGUAGCUAACGCAUUAAG
rnacentral:rRNA from 1 species